rnacentral:rRNA from 1 species
AUUGAACGCUGGCGGCAUGCCUUACACAUGCAAGUCGAACGGCAGCACGGGGGCAACCCUGGUGGCGAGUGGCGAACGGGUGAGUAAAGCAUCGGAACGUACCCGGAAGUGGGGGAUAACGUAGCGAAAGUUACGCUAAUACCGCAUAUUCCGUGAGCAGGAAAGCAGGGGAUCGCAAGACCUUGCGCUUUCGGAGCGGCCGAUGUCGGAUUAGCUAGUUGGUGGGGUAAAGGCCUACCAAGGCGACGAUCCGUAGCGGGUCUGAGAGGAUGAUCCGCCACACUGGGACUGAGACACGGCCCAGACUCCUACGGGAGGCAGCUGUGGGGAAUUUUGGACAAUGGGGGCAACCCUGAUCCAGCCAUGCCGCGUGAGUGAAGAAGGCCUUCGGGUUGUAAAGCUCUUUCGGCCGGGAAGAAAUCGCACGGGAUAAUACCCCGUGUGGAUGACGGUACCGGAAUAAGAAGCACCGGCUAACUACGUGCCAGCCACCGCAGUAAUAC